GUCGUGUACCGGGGGAAACCCUUGGCAGCAGCGUCGUCAUCGUCGCGAUCCUUCUUGGAGGUGUUGAUAGGUGCCGGCGCUUCGGAGUCUUGGAGCCUAGUGGAAGAUCCCGGUGGGCGCAGCGUUCGCGAGGCUUCUUCGUUUUCGUUGAUCCGCCGUUGUUCUUUUGCUCUUUCUCUGUCGUUUCUUUUGGGCGUGACUGUGCUGCUUCCGCCCCAGCACCUAUCUUCGUACGGCUUGGUUGGUUGCUUUGUAUACAAAGCGGGGGGAAACCCUUUUUCGGCAAGUGGUAGGCAGUGUGAGCAGAUAUACUGUUGACUAGCAAAACCACCUGCCGCUUGGAGGAGGAUAGGGUUUCCAGGUUAGAUCUGUGCUCGGGAGGGAAGUGCGCCGCCAUGGCGAUGGAGCAGAAGCUGAUGAAUACUGGGCAAUACAGGCAAGAAAGCGAUGAGCCGAGUGCUCUAGAAACCGUCAAUGAAGGAAGCGAGUCAGAUAUAUAUUCAGGUUCAGAGAACAUGCUGUCAAAUGUUCAUGCAUGGCAAACAAAUGGUAGUGGCAUUGUUAAAGCGACAGAUUUGGCUGGGCCUGAGGGUCUGCGGCUUAUCAGUGGGUUGAUUGAGCCUAUUGAACCAGACAAGGCCGACAAAGGAUGCCUACAAAUUUCAGAGACCGCGGGAGCAGAGCAGAGUUCUGAAAGUGAUACUACUUGCGUUAGAAGGCAUCGGCGAGGAGCAAUGCCUGAUGAGAGAACUAUACAAGCAAAGAGGGUUACAACACUUGAAACUGCAAUCAGGGGUUUUGCUGAAAGGAAAACAGCUUCUGUCAUUACACCAACACUAGGAUUGAGUUAUGAUUCAUUGACAGAAGCUUACGACUUUUACAACCUGUAUUCUUGGGAAUGUGGUUUCGGCAUACGUUACGGAAGAGCAAAAAUAAUGUGAAAGGAGCCAGGUGUAUGCAGGGGAAACCGAAUAAGGAGAACAACAGUUCAUGCAGAGCAAAAUGUCGUGCAACGGUGAGGCUACUAAGAACUGAUGACGGGGGUGGUAUAUAUCCGAGAACAGGACAGAGCACAAUCAUGUGUUAACAAUCAUUUCCAGAGCACUAUUUUUGCUGGUGUUCUUAUGAGGGACGAGCAGUCAGAAAGUUUUGAACAGGUUUUCCGUGAGUUUGUGAAGAUGAUGGGAGGAAAGACCAAGCUAGGGCGAUGGAGAUUGCUAUUGAGAAUGUUUGGCCGGAAACAACACACCGUUGGUGCAAGAGAGUUUGGGUUAUCAUCAUACAAAGAAGAGUGACUUCCGAGCAGAAUUCCAUAGAUUGGUGAACGACAUGCUAACUAUCGAAGAGUUUGAGAAGGGGUGGGUGGAGAUUAUGAAGAAAUACAGUUUGCAGAGCAAUACAUUCCUCAUACAAAUAUUUGAGGUGAGGCGGAAGUGGGCAAAGCCAUAUUUUUCUGGAAAAUUUUGUGCGAAAAUGACGAGCACACAAAGGAGUGAGAGCGCAAAUCACAUGCUGAAGAAUUAUGUUCCUCCAGCAUGCCCAAUGAAUCUUUUUGUCAAGUAGUAUGCAAAAGUACCGUUUGAUAGAGAGCAAGAAGAAGGUUUCCAAGAAAAGAGGACCAAAUUGGCAGGGGUAGUUCUAAAAGUUAACAUACCAAUUGAACGCCAUGCAACCACGGUGUAUACUCAGGCCAUGUUUGAGCUGUUUGGAAAAAGUCUUUACUACUCAUGUUCUUAUUACAUCGAAGAAUUAGUUCCAGGGAGUGAGUACCUGGCAACACACGUGAAGGCGGGGUCGAGGGAGAAAUGGUACAAGAGCAGAUACAAGGUGGUGGUUUCAGAAUUCAACGAUUUUUUCAGUUGUGAGUGUUGACUCUUUGAGCAUAUGGGGAUGAUUUGUUUCCAUGCACUAAAGGUGAUGAUAGUGUUGGGAUUGAAUGAGAUACCAAGGAAGCACAUACUGAAAAGAUGGACAGUAGAUGCGUGUGAUACCCUUCCAGAACAUCUGAAGCAUUAUCAAAAAGAUGUAGGCCUACCUGAUUGCACAACUUUCAGACACAAUGCUAUGUACAUCUCUGCUCUGGAAUUGGUUAUGAUGGGUGAUAGCAAUCCCAAGGAUUUUGACUAUGUCAUGAGCGGGCUAGCAGAAUUGAAGAAGGGUGCUUUGCCACUAAGUAAUCUUAAAGAUGGAAUGAGUCUAAUUGAAAAAAAGAAGGCAUGUAAGUCUUCUUUGUUGCUAAAUCUAUUGCUUCAAAGGUAGUCAGAAGCAGAUUAUUGAU